rnacentral:lncRNA from 1 species
AUUCCAGAAUGAAAGCUUAUUAGUAUAUAGAGUUGUUGCAGAUGUUAUCAGUUAAGAUGAGGUGAUAUUGGGGCUGGGUGAAACUUCUGCCUCAGGUGACUGCCCCAUUGACUCUCUCACCAGCAGCUGCAAGAGAGUUCUAGUUGUUCCAUAUCCUUGCCGACACCUAUUAUUUUCUGUCUCCUUAUUUUAGUCAUGCUGGUAGGUGUGUAAGUGGAUUACACUGUAGUUUCAAUUUGCAUUUUCCUGAUGAUUAAUGGUGUCAAACACUUUUUUGUAUAUUUCUUGGCCAUUUGAAUUGCUUCUUUUGUGAAGCAUCUGUGCAAGUAUUUUUCCCCUUUUCUGUGGGAUAUCAAUCUUAUUUUUGUUGGUUUACAUGAGUUCUUCAUAUGUUUUGGUUAAGAGUCCUUUUCAGAUAUAUGAAUUGCAGUUCUCAUAACAGUGUCUUUUGAUGAUAUGAAGUUUUUUGUUGUUGUUGUUUUGUCUCAUUUGUUGAGACAGGGUCUCGCUCUGUCACCCAGGCUGGAGUAAAAUGCUGCGAACUUGGCUCACUGCAACCUUGACCUGCCAGGCUUCAGCAAUCCUCAUGCCUCAGGCUCCUGAAUAUCUGGAACUACAGGUGUUCACCACCACAGCUGGAUAAUUGUUGUAAUUUUUGUGGAGACAGGGUUUUGGCAUGUUGCCCUGGCUGGUCUCAAACUCUUGGGCUCAAGUGAUCUGUCCACCUCAGCCUCCCACAAAUGCAGGGUUAAUGAUUUGUGUUUUGUUUAAGAAAUCUUUGCUUAAGCUGAGGUCAUGAAGAUGUUUUUUGUGUUUUCCUCUAAAAGCAUUAUUGUGUUCCCUUUUGCAUUUAGAUCUCCAGGCCAUCUGAAAUUUAUUUUUGUAUGUGGUGUAAGGCAGGGGUAAGGCUGCUUUCUUUUUUCCAUUUGGAUAUCCAGUCGACUCAGCAAUGGAAAAGACCACACCACUCCAGCCCCCCAGCCCCACUUCUCAGCCUUGUCUUUGUUAUAGAUCAGGUGACUGCACAGAUGGCGGUGGCUUCCGGACUCUCUCUUAGGUUCUGCCCGUCAAUUUGCCUAUCCUUAUACCAAUGCCACACUGUCUUAAUUUCUUGUUCUUGUUUUCAAGGGUGAUCUACUUGUUUGGUUCUCCUUGGUGGAUCAGGUGGUCUCGGAUAUCUUGUUCAUGUUUUCAAGGGUGAUCUACUUGUUUGGUUCUCCUUGGUGGAUCACGUGGUUUCGGGCACACUUUUCCCUUGAUUUUAGUUUCAAAGCCCUGAACCAUUUUGUUAGAACUCCAUCAUAUCCUAACUGUGUAACCUGGCCUCAGUUCAUCUCAGUGUACCAUCUUUAACAUAGAAACACAAAUUCCUAUCUUAGAGAGUCUCUGGGAGAAUUAAAUGAGAUAAUGCGGCUGUUGUGCUUGGCACAUAGAAAGCAUUUAGUAAAGGUUAGUGAUUUUGUAGUUUAGUGGUUGGAGAUACAGCACCUGGAGCGAAACUGCCUGGAUUCAAAUCUUGGUUCCUUCACGUUGAAAUGCGUGACUUUGGGAGAAUUACUUCAUGUGGGCCUACUGUCUUUAAAAUGAGGAUACUUGUAGUGAACGCUGGAGCUUAGAAUGUGGAUGAAGUGCACACAGCAGUUCUCAGCUUUGUGCUCAUGGGGGAAGACAAAGAUAAUGACAAUUUCCAUGCAACAUCUGGAGGAUACAGGACCAGGCACCCCGUCUAGACUCACAUGUGACUCACCCACAUACCAGGCUACUCCUGCAUGCCAGGGCAUUCCGCCUGGAAGUGCUGAGUCCAUAUGUGUGAGGGGCACUCCGUUUUCUGGCACGUGGUGGGCAAUCACUCCAUUGACAUUGCCUCUUAGAAUCUUCCUCCUGUUGAUCAGAGUGUCCUGGCCCCUGUGAGCUUGAUUUUGAUUUUUCACAGCUGCAGUCCUUGUGCCUUAUGGAUAGCACAGUAAAUCUUUUUAAAAAUAUAUAUAUUUUUUUCUGUUACGUGAAGCACAUCUAUUUGUGAGGAAGGAUUUUCCUCUGAGCCCUUGUUCCCUUGCUCUUCUGCUUGUGCCGCUGGUGUUUUCAUAAGCUCAGUGCUGAUUUCUUUCUGAAUAUCACUGCCCCUUAUACACAGGUGGUCUGAUUCUGCCUUCUGCCCCAGUGAGGGUGGGCUGAGCUCCCUUCCAGAAUGACAGAGCAGGUGACUGCAGCACGCUUAGUUCAGGCUUUGUGCCUGAUGGGAUGGUGUCUCCUUGGGGAUGUAUGUCCCAGGCAGGUGCCCCAGGAUGGCUCAAAGGGAGGGCCUAGAGCAGAGUCGACAGCCUUUCAAGUGGGACCCACCAGGAGGUGUCACCUCCAGGGCUCAUUAAAGCGUGUCCACGCUCUCAGAUUUCCUUGGAAACCAGAAACUAAAGGCAAAGUUGGGGGAAGGGUCUUCUGGCAUCUUCCUGUGGGAGCAAAUGUGGGCGGGAGCAGCUUCCCCUUCUGCUGCAGGGCUUCGCCACUCCUGCCCUGCUGCCUCCCUGUACCCCGCAGCCUUCCCACUCCCCUCCCAGCUCUGGCUCAGGCUGCCCUUCUUCUUGCUGAUUCCUUGCUCUAGUGCAGGGUUUCUCCAGUGGCUCCCCACAACAUGCCCAGGGUGACAUGCCAGUGUGUGUCACCAGAGCUGCCCACGCACAGCUCUCUCAUAGAAAGCAGUUACAGGGAGCUUGGGGGGUGGGCCCUGUGGGCUGUGUGGGGGAGGUAGUUAGCACAGUGACUGUGACCAGCAGGCAGGAUGGGUGGGUGGAGGCCCAGGAGGAAGGAGAAAGGAGCAGGGAGCAGCAAGACACGGGGGAGCAGCAUGGGAGUGGGAGAAGCUGAGCGUGGGUUCUGGGAGGGAUGGGGAGGGGCAGCCUGGGAGGGGGAGAAGCUGAGUAUGGGUUCUGGGAAGGACAGGGGGGAGCAGCGUGGGAGGGAGAGGCUGAGUGUGGGGUCUGGGAAGGGCAGGGGAG